rnacentral:rRNA from 1 species
UACGUAGGGGGCAAGCGUUGUCCGGAUUUAUUGGGCGUAAAGAGCGUGUAGGCGGCUUGGUAGGUCCGCUGUGAAAACUCGAGGCUCAACCUCGAGAUGUCGGCGGAAACCACUUGGCUAGAGUCCGGAAGAGGAGAGUGGAAUUCCCGGUGUAGCGGUGAAAUGCGCAGAUAUCGGGAAGAACACCUAUGGCGAAGGCAGCUCUCUGGGACGGUACUGACGCUGAGACGCGAAAGCGUGGGAGCGAACAGG